GACGAACGCUGGCGGCGUGCCUAAUACAUGCAAGUCGAACGCAGUGGGGACGGGUGAGUAACACGUGGGUAACCUCCCAUCAGAGGGGAUAACACUUGGAAACAGGUGCUAAACCGAUACUGAUGGAUGGACCCGCGGUGCAUUAGCUAGGUGGUGAGGGAACGGCGCACAAAGGCCACGAUGCAUAGCGGAGCUGAUAGGGUGAUAGGCCACACUGGGACUGAGACACGGCACAGACUCCAACGGGAGGCAGCAGUAGAGAAUCGUCGGCAGUGGACGAAGGUCUGACCGGUCAACGCCGCGUGAAUGAAAGAGGUUUUCGGAUCGGAAAACUCUGUUGUUAGGGAAGCGGUAUCUAACGAGAAAGCCACGGCUAACUACGUGCCAGCAGCCGCGGUAAUUC
rnacentral:rRNA from 1 species